CAGUCGCCGCGGUAAAACGUAGGUGGCAAGCGUUGUCCGGAAUUAUUGGGCGUAAAGCGUGCGCAGGCGGUUAUAUAAGUCAGAUGUGAAAUCCCCGGGCUCAACCUGGGAACUGCAUUUGAGACUGUAUGGCUAGAGUGUGUCAGAGGGAGGUAGAAUUCCACGUGUAGCAGUGAAAUGCGUAGAGAUGUGGAGGAAUACCGAUGGCGAAGGCAGCCUCCUGGGAUAACACUGACGUUCAUGCUCGAAAGCGUGGGUAGCAAACAGGAUUAGAUACCCGAGUAGUCCCUGUCUCUUAUAC
rnacentral:rRNA from 1 species